rnacentral:rRNA from 1 species
UACAGAGGGGGCAAGCGUUGUUCGGAAUUACUGGGCGUAAAGGGCGCGUAGGCGGCCUGUUAAGUCGAACGUGAAAUCCCCGGGCUCAACCCGGGAACUGCGUCCGAUACUGGCAGGCUUGAAUUCGGGAGAGGGAUGUGGAAUUCCUGGUGUAGCGGUGAAAUGCGCAGAUAUCAGGAGGAACACCGGUGGCGAAGGCGGGUCUCUGGGCCGAUACUGACGCUGAGGAGCGAAAGCGUGGGGAGCAAACAGG